rnacentral:rRNA from 1 species
GCACAAGCGGUGGAGCAUGUGGUUUAAUUCGACGCAACGCGAAGAACCUUACCUGGGCUCGAAAUGUAGUGGAAUCCGGUAGAAAUAUCGGCGCCCAGCAAUGGGCCGCUAUAUAGGUGCUGCAUGGCUGUCGUCAGCUCGUGUCGUGAGAUGUUGGGUUAAGUCCCGCAACGAGCGCAACCCUUGUUACCAGUUGCUACCAUUUAGUUGAGCACUCUGGUGAGACCGCCUCGGAUAACGGGGAGGAAGGCGGGGAUGACGUCAAGUCCUCAUGGCCUUUAUGUCCAGGGCUACACACGUGCUACAAUGGCCGGUACAAACCGUCGCAAACCCGUGAGGGGGAGCUAAUCGGAAAAAGCCGGCCUCAGUUCGGAUUGGAGUCUGCAACUCGACUCCAUGAAGCUGGAAUCGCUAGUAAUCGCGGAUCAGAAUGCCGCGGUGAAUACGUUCCCGGGC